rnacentral:rRNA from 1 species
UACGAAGGGGGCUAGCGUUGCUCGGAAUCGACUUGGGGCGUAAAAGGGUGCGUAGGCGGGUUUCUAAGUCAGAGGUGAAGCCUGGAGCUCAAACGUCCAGAACUACGGCCUUUGAUACUGGAAGGUCGUUGAGUAUGGCAGAGGUGAGGUGGAACUGGCGAGUGUAGAGGUGAAAUUCGUAGAUAUUCGCAAGAACACCAGUGGCGA